rnacentral:misc_RNA from 1 species
AAACCCAUGGGCCCCGUGUUCGGGUUCCGUCAUGGGCCCCUCGCCUCUUUUGGCGUGGCCUCAAAGUCAUCGGUCGGUACGAGCGGACGGGUUCCACACGGACGUGAGACCGUUCUGCCGACCCUAAUACCGAA